rnacentral:rRNA from 1 species
GACGAACUGUCCUAACGUUGUUCGGAAUCACUGGGCUUAAAGGGCGCGUAGGCGGUCCAUCAAGUCAGGGGUGAAAUCCUGCAGCUCAACUGCAGAAGUGCCUCUGAUGACUGGUGGUCUGGAGGGAGAUAGGGGUGUGUGGAACUCACAGUGGAGCGGUGAAAUGCGUUGAUAUUGUGAGGAACGCCGGAGGCGAAAGCGACGCACUGGAUCUCUUCUGACGCUGAGGCGCGAAAGCUAGGGGAGCAAACGGG